rnacentral:rRNA from 1 species
UCCUACGGGAGGCAGCAGUGAGGAAUAUUGGACAAUGGAGGAAACUCUGAACCAGCCAUGCCGCGUGCAGGAUGACUGCCCUAUGGGUUGUAAACUGCUUUUAUACGGGAAGAAACCCCCGAACGUGUUCGGAGCUGAAGGUACCGUAAGAAUAAGGAUCGGCUAACUCCGUGCCAGCAGCCGCGGUAAUACGGAGGAUCCAAGCGUUAUCCGGAUUCAUUGGGUUUAAAGGGUCCGCAGGCGGGAUAUUAAGUCAGUGGUGAAAGCCUACAGCUUAACUGUCGAAUUGCCAUUGAUACUGGUACUCUUGAGUGUAGUUGAGGUGGGCGGAAUAAGUCAUGUAGCGGUGAAAUGCAUAGAUAUGACUUAGAACACCGAUUGCGAAGGCAGCUCACUAAACUACUACUGACGCUCAGGGACGAAAGCGUGGGGAGCGAACAGGAUUAGAUACCCUGGUAGUCCACGCCGUAAACGAUGAUCACUCGCUGUUGGCGAUAUACAGUCAGCGGCCAAGCGAAAGCAUUAA